rnacentral:rRNA from 1 species
GACGAACGCUGGCGGCGUGCUUAACACAUGCAAGUCGAACGAGGUCCAUGAAGUAGCAAUACUUCGGAAGACCUAGUGGCGAACGGGUGCGUAACACGUGAGGAACUUGUCCCGGUCUCUGGGAUAACAGUUGGAAACGACUGCUAAUACCGGAUGACGUCGGAGCAUCGCAUGGUGCGCUGACGAAAGGGUUACUGGAUCGGGAGAGCCUCGCGGCCUAUCAGCUUGUUGGUGGGUAACGGCCUACCAAGGCAUCGACGGGUAGCUGGUCUGAGAGGAUGAUCAGCCACACUGGGACUGAGACACGGCCCAGACUCCUACGGAGGCAGCAGUGGGGAAUCUUGCGCAAUGGGCGAAAGCCUGACGCAGCAACGCCGCGUGCGGGAAGAAAGGCUCUCGGGUUGUAAACCGCUUUCAGCAGGACGAAAAUGACGGUACUUGCAGAAGAAAGGUGCGGGCCAACUACGUAGCCAGCAGCCGCGGU